GACGUAGGGCGCGAGCGUUGUCCGGAUUUAUUGGGCGUAAAGAGCUCGUAGGCGGCUUGUCGCGUCGUCCGUGAAAACUUGGGGCUCAACCCCAAGCUUGCGGUCGAUACGGGCAGGCUAGAGUUCGGUAGGGGAGACUGGAAUUCCUGGUGUAGCGGUGAAAUGCGCAGAUAUCAGGAGGAACACCGGUGGCGAAGGCGGGUCCCUGGGCCGAUACUGACGCUGAGGAGCGAAAGCGUGGGGAGCGAACAGG
rnacentral:rRNA from 1 species